GGUUAAGCGACUAAGCGUACACGGUGGAUGCCCUGGCAGUCAGAGGCGAUGAAGGACGUGCUAAUCUGCGAUAAGCGUCGGUAAGGUGAUAUGAACCGUUAUAACCGGCGAUUUCCGAAUGGGGAAACCCAGUGUGUUUCGACACACUAUCAUUAACUGAAUCCAUAGGUUAAUGAGGCGAACCGGGGGAACUGAAACAUCUAAGUACCCCGAGGAAAAGAAAUCAACCGAGAUUCCCCCAGUAGCGGCGAGCGAACGGGGAGCAGCCCAGAGCCUGAAUCAGUGUGUGUGUUAGUGGAAGCGUCUGGAAAGGCGCGCGAUACAGGGUGACAGCCCCGUACACAAAAAUGCACAUGCUGUGAGCUCGAUGAGUAGGGCGGGACACGUGGUAUCCUGUCUGAAUAUGGGGGGACCAUCCUCCAAGGCUAAAUACUCCUGACUGACCGAUAGUGAACCAGUACCGUGAGGGAAAGGCGAAAAGAACCCCGGCGAGGGGAGUGAAAAAGAACCUGAAACCGUGUACGUACAAGCAGUGGGAGCACGCUUAGGCGUGUGACUGCGUACCUUUUGUAUAAUGGGUCAGCGACUUAUAUUCUGUAGCAAGGUUAACCGAAUAGGGGAGCCGAAGGGAAACCGAGUCUUAACUGGGCGUUAAGUUGCAGGGUAUAGACCCGAAACCCGGUGAUCUAGCCAUGGGCAGGUUGAAGGUUGGGUAACACUAACUGGAGGACCGAACCGACUAAUGUUGAAAAAUUAGCGGAUGACUUGUGGCUGGGGGUGAAAGGCCAAUCAAACCGGGAGAUAGCUGGUUCUCCCCGAAAGCUAUUUAGGUAGCGCCUCGUGAAUUCAUCUCCGGGGGUAGAGCACUGUUUCGGCAAGGGGGUCAUCCCGACUUACCAACCCGAUGCAAACUGCGAAUACCGGAGAAUGUUAUCACGGGAGACACACGGCGGGUGCUAACGUCCGUCGUGAAGAGGGAAACAACCCAGACCGCCAGCUAAGGUCCCAAAGUCAUGGUUAAGUGGGAAACGAUGUGGGAAGGCCCAGACAGCCAGGAUGUUGGCUUAGAAGCAGCCAUCAUUUAAAGAAAGCGUAAUAGCUCACUGGUCGAGUCGGCCUGCGCGGAAGAUGUAACGGGGCUAAACCAUGCACCGAAGCUGCGGCAGCGACGCUUAUGCGUUGUUGGGUAGGGGAGCGUUCUGUAAGCCUGUGAAGGUGUGCUGUGAGGCAUGCUGGAGGUAUCAGAAGUGCGAAUGCUGACAUAAGUAACGAUAAAGCGGGUGAAAAGCCCGCUCGCCGGAAGACCAAGGGUUCCUGUCCAACGUUAAUCGGGGCAGGGUGAGUCGACCCCUAAGGCGAGGCCGAAAGGCGUAGUCGAUGGGAAACAGGUUAAUAUUCCUGUACUUGGUGUUACUGCGAAGGGGGGACGGAGAAGGCUAUGUUGGCCGGGCGACGGUUGUCCCGGUUUAAGCGUGUAGGCUGGUUUUCCAGGCAAAUCCGGAAAAUCAAGGCUGAGGCGUGAUGACGAGGCACUACGGUGCUGAAGCAACAAAUGCCCUGCUUCCAGGAAAAGCCUCUAAGCAUCAGGUAACAUCAAAUCGUACCCCAAACCGACACAGGUGGUCAGGUAGAGAAUACCAAGGCGCUUGAGAGAACUCGGGUGAAGGAACUAGGCAAAAUGGUGCCGUAACUUCGGGAGAAGGCACGCUGAUAUGUAGGUGAAGUCCCUCGCGGAUGGAGCUGAAAUCAGUCGAAGAUACCAGCUGGCUGCAACUGUUUAUUAAAAACACAGCACUGUGCAAACACGAAAGUGGACGUAUACGGUGUGACGCCUGCCCGGUGCCGGAAGGUUAAUUGAUGGGGUCAGCGCAAGCGAAGCUCUUGAUCGAAGCCCCGGUAAACGGCGGCCGUAACUAUAACGGUCCUAAGGUAGCGAAAUUCCUUGUCGGGUAAGUUCCGACCUGCACGAAUGGCGUAAUGAUGGCCAGGCUGUCUCCACCCGAGACUCAGUGAAAUUGAACUCGCUGUGAAGAUGCAGUGUACCCGCGGCAAGACGGAAAGACCCCGUGAACCUUUACUAUAGCUUGACACUGAACAUUGAGCCUUGAUGUGUAGGAUAGGUGGGAGGCUUAGAAGUGUGGACGCCAGUCUGCAUGGAGCCGACCUUGAAAUACCACCCUUUAAUGUUUGAUGUUCUAACGUUGACCCGUAAUCCGGGUUGCGGACAGUGUCUGGUGGGUAGUUUGACUGGGGCGGUCUCCUCCUAAAGAGUAACGGAGGAGCACGAAGGUUGGCUAAUCCUGGUCGGACAUCAGGAGGUUAGUGCAAUGGCAUAAGCCAGCUUGACUGCGAGCGUGACGGCGCGAGCAGGUGCGAAAGCAGGUCAUAGUGAUCCGGUGGUUCUGAAUGGAAGGGCCAUCGCUCAACGGAUAAAAGGUACUCCGGGGAUAACAGGCUGAUACCGCCCAAGAGUUCAUAUCGACGGCGGUGUUUGGCACCUCGAUGUCGGCUCAUCACAUCCUGGGGCUGAAGUAGGUCCCAAGGGUAUGGCUGUUCGCCAUUUAAAGUGGUACGCGAGCUGGGUUUAGAACGUCGUGAGACAGUUCGGUCCCUAUCUGCCGUGGGCGCUGGAGAACUGAGGGGGGCUGCUCCUAGUACGAGAGGACCGGAGUGGACGCAUCACUGGUGUUCGGGUUGUCAUGCCAAUGGCACUGCCCGGUAGCUAAAUGCGGAAGAGAUAAGUGCUGAAAGCAUCUAAGCACGAAACUUGCCCCGAGAUGAGUUCUCCCUGACUCCUUAAGGGUCCUGAAGGAACGUUGAAGACGACGACGUUGAUAGGCCGGGUGUGUAAGCGCAGCGAUGCGUUGAGCUAACCGGUACUAAUGAACCGUGAGGCUUAACCUU
rnacentral:rRNA from 1 species